ACUGGUUUGGCAGAUUUUAGUGUAAUAAGUUUAGGAUUUAUUUAUGUAAUUAAUAUUACAGUCAGUA
rnacentral:tRNA from 1 species